GCUGCCCGACCCCGACCCCGUGCGCCGCCUCCGACCCUGACCCCGCGCGCCCCAGCCCGUCACGCAGCCGCGCCGCCCCGACCCCGCGCCGCCCAGCCCCGCACGCAGCCGCGCCGCCCCAACCCGGCGCGCCGCCUGCCCAGCCGCGCCCAGCGCCGCCUGCCGAAAUUUCGUGGUGAAGCACCUCGCCAAGGUCUUCGUGGACGGCCUCCUCGAGGUCGUGGACCUCACGCUCGUCCCCUACGGCAACGCUCGGAUCCACGCCGGCGGAGUGAUCUCGUGCCAGAUGAAAUGGUAGGGUCCUCUGAGGACGAACCAUGCUCAGGAGACAGACGCCACUGACCUGGGUCAGGAGCACAGCUCACGGUUGGCUGACCGUGAGCUCAAGGAGAUGCUGCUGAAGAAGUACAGUGGCUGUCUGAGCCGGCUGCGGUCCGAGUUCCUGAAGAAGAGGAAGAAAGGGAAGCUACCGAAGGAUGCUCGGUCGGCGCUGAUGGACUGGUGGAACACGCAUUACUGCUGGCCGUACCCUACGGAUCGCACGGCGUGCUAUGCACACCUAGACCGUCGCUGGGAUCGCAAGCUGGGGCGUCCCAACCCUCGCCGGAAUCGCACACUGGACAGUCGUCGUGAGCUGCCUUGGGAGUUGUUUUUAUGUAUUAAACUUGUGAAGUUGGAAUAAUAUGCACUCUUGAACGUGUGGUUUGUAAUAUAUUUUGAAUUUCGUAUAAAUUUGGUCAUUUGUGAUAUAUAUAAAUGUGGUUUGUGAUA